AGAAUCAACGCUGGCGGCGUGCCUAACACAUGCAAGUCGAACGAGAAAGUGGAGCAAUCCAUGAGUAAAGUGGCGACCGGGUGAGUAACACGUGACUAACCUACCUUCGAGUGGGGGAUAACCUCGGGAAACCGAGGCUAAUACCGCAUAACAUCGCAAGAUCAAAGCAGCAAUGCGCUGGAAGAGGGGGUCGCGGCUGAUUAGCUAGUUGGCGGGGUAACGGCCCACCAAGGCGAAGAUCGGUAGCCGGCCUGAGAGGGCGCACGGCCACACUGGAACUGAAACACGGUCCAGACUCCUACGGGAGGCAGCAGUGGGGAAUUUUGCGCAAUGGGGGAAACCCUGACGCAGCAACGCCGCGCGGAGGAUGAAGCCCCUUGGGGCGUAAACUCCUUUCGACCAAGACGAUAAUGACGGUACUGGUGGAAGAAGCACCGGCUAACUCUGUGCCAGCAGCCGC
rnacentral:rRNA from 1 species